GCAGUCGAGCGAACAGACGAGGAGCUUGCUCCUCUGACGUUAGCGGCGGACGGGUGAGUAACACGUGGAUAACCUACCUAUAAGACUGGGAUAACUUCGGGAAACCGGAGCUAAUACCGGAUAAUAUAUUGAACCGCAUGGUUCAAUAGUGAAAGACGGUUUUGCUGUCACUUAUAGAUGGAUCCGCGCCGCAUUAGCUAGUUGGUAAGGUAACGGCUUACCAAGGCAACGAUGCGUAGCCGACCUGAGAGGGUGAUCGGCCACACUGGAACUGAGACACGGUCCAGACUCCUACGGGAGGCAGCAGUAGGGAAUCUUCCGCAAUGGGCGAAAGCCUGACGGAGCAACGCCGCGUGAGUGAUGAAGGUCUUCGGAUCGUAAAACUCUGUUAUUAGGGAAGAACAAAUGUGUAAGUAACUAUGCACGUCUUGACGGUACCUAAUCAGAAAGCCACGGCUAACUACGUGCCAGCAGCCGCGGUAAUACGUAGGUGGCAAGCGUUAUCCGGAAUUAUUGGGCGUAAAGCGCGCGUAGGCGGUUUUUUAAGUCUGAUGUGAAAGCCCACGGCUCAACCGUGGAGGGUCAUUGGAAACUGGAAAACUUGAGUGCAGAAGAGGAAAGUGGAAUUCCAUGUGU
rnacentral:rRNA from 1 species